UUUCUUGGACCCCAAAACUUCUUUAAUUUUCAUUUCUAUCUCCGCCCGACAAAAAUUCUUCCUCCAAUAUCGCACUACUGGGGAAUACCGUUGAUCCAACGUCACAAUGCUAAACUCCUCAGAGUAACAUCUUCCAACUUCCAUCUCGCACGACAAAAAUUCUUCCUCCAAUAUCGCACUACUGGGGAAUACCGUUGAUUCAACGUCACGAUGCUAAACUCCUCAGAGUAACAUCUUCCAACUUCCAUCUCGCACGACAGAAAUUCUUC
rnacentral:lncRNA from 1 species